CGUCACCGACCCCACGGCUUGCCCGCUCCCCGGCCACGGCACCAAUCCUAUCGUUGCUGGCUCCAGCAACGU
rnacentral:sRNA from 22 species